CCUACGGGAGGCAGCAGUGAGGAAUAUUGGUCAAUGGCCGGAAGGCUGAACCAGCCAUGCCGCGUGAAGGUCAGUGCCCUAUGGGCGUUAAACUUCUUUUGUGCGGGAGCAAUAAUGGUCACGUGUGGCUAGACGAGAGUACCGUACGAAUAAGCAUCGGCUAACUCCGUGCCAGCAGCCGCGGUAAUACGGGGGAUGCAAGCGUUAUCCGGAUUUAUUGGGUUUAAAGGGUGCGUAGGCUGUGAGGUAAGUCAGCGGUGAAAUGCCCCCGCUCAACGGGGUGAAGUGCCAUUGAUACUGCCUUGCUGGAAGGCGGAUGCCGUGGGAGGAAGGUGUGGUGUAGCGGGGAAAUGCAUAGAUACCACACAGAACACCGAUUGCGAAGGCAUCUCACGAAUCCGCGAUUGACGCUGAUGCACGAAGGCGGGGGUAUCAAACAGGAUUAGAUACCCUAGUAGUC
rnacentral:rRNA from 1 species